CUCCUUGUGCCGCGAAGCAAUCGGAAGUGGUUCCAAGAAAAGCCUCUAAGCUUCAGUCUAACGAGACCGUACCGCAAACCGACACAGGUGGGCGAGAUGAGUAUUCUAAGGCGCUUGAGAGAACUCGGGAGAAGGAACUCGGCAAAUUGGUACCGUAACUUCGGGAUAAGGUACGCCCUUGUAGUUUGACUGGCCUGCGCCAGAAGGACGAAGGGGUUGCAAUAAAUUGGUGGCUGCGACUGUUUAAUAAAAACACAGCACUCUGCAAACACGAAAGUGGACGUAUAGGGUGUGACUCCUGCCCGGUGCUGGAAGAUUAAAUGAUGGGGUGCAAGCUCUUGAUUGAAGUCCCAGUAAACGGCGGCCGUAACUAUAACGGUCCUAAGGUAGCGAAAUUCCUUGUCGGGUAAGUUCCGACCUGCACGAAUGGAGUAACGAUGGCCACACUGUCUCCUCCCGAGACUCAGCGAAGUUGAAAUGUUUGUGAUGAUGCAAUCUACCCGCGGCUAGACGGAAAGACCCCAUGAACCUUUACUGUAGCUUUGCAUUGGACUUUGAACCAAUCUGUGUAGGAUAGGUGGGAGGCUUUGAAGCGGGGACGCCAGUUCUCGUGGAGCCAACCUUGAAAUACCACCCUGGUUUGUUUGAGGUUCUAACCUUGGUCCGUUAUCCGGAUCGGGGACAGUGCAUGGUAGGCAGUUUGACUGGGGCGGUCUCCUCCCAAAGUGUAACGGAGGAGUUCGAAGGUACGCUAAUUACGGUCGGACAUCGUGAUGAUAGUGCAAUGGCAUAAGCGUGCUUAACUGCGAGACUGACAAGUCGAGCAGGUACGAAAGUAGGACAUAGUGAUCCGGUGGUUCUGUAUGGAAGGGCCAUCGCUCAACGGAUAAAAGGUACUCUGGGGAUAACAGGCUGAUUCCUCCCAAGAGUUCAUAUCGACGGGGGAGUUUGGCACCUCGAUGUCGGCUCAUCACAUCCUGGGGCUGUAGCCGGUCCCAAGGGUAUGGCUGUUCGCCAUUUAAAGUGGUACGUGAGCUGGGUUUAAAACGUCGUGAGACAGUUUGGUCCCUAUCUGCCGUGGGCGUUGGAAAUUUGAAGGGGGCUGCUCCUAGUACGAGAGGACCGGAGUGGACGAACCUCUGGUGUACCGGUUGUCACGCCAGUGGCAUUGCCGGGUAGCUAAGUUCGGAAGAGAUAACCGCUGAAAGCAUCUAAGCGGGAAACUUGCCUUGAGAUGAGAUUUCCCGGAGCUUUAAGCUCCUUAAAGGGUCGUUCGAGACCAGGACGUUGAUAGGCUGGGUGUGGAAGA
rnacentral:rRNA from 1 species